CUUCCAGUAGCACCUUAGAGACCAACUAAGUUAGUUAUUGGUAUGAGCUUUCGUGUGCAUGCACACAACUUAGUUGGUCUCUAAGGUGCUACUGGAAG